GACGAACGCUGGCGGCGUGCUUAACACAUGCAAGUCGAACGGAAAGGCCCUGCUUUUGUGGGGUGCUCGAGUGGCGAACGGGUGAGUAACACGUGAGUAACCUGCCCUUGACUUUGGGAUAACUUCAGGAAACUGGGGCUAAUACCGGAUAGGAGCUCCUGCUGCAUGGUGGGGGUUGGAAAGUUUCGGCGGUUGGGGAUGGACUCGCGGCUUAUCAGCUUGUUGGUGGGGUAGUGGCUUACCAAGGCUUUGACGGGUAGCCGGCCUGAGAGGGUGACCGGCCACAUUGGGACUGAGAUACGGCCCAGACUCCUACGGGAGGCAGCAGUGGGGAAUAUUGCACAAUGGGCGGAAGCCCGAUGCAGCAACGCCGCGUGCGGGGUGACGGCCUUCGGGUUGUAAACCGCUUUCGCCUGUGACGAAGCGUGAGUGACGGUAAUGGGUAAAGAAGCACCGGCUAACUACGUG
rnacentral:rRNA from 1 species